AAAUGUGGUGUUGGAGAGAGGCGUCUUGUCUCGCGGUCUUACAACGCGUCCAAUUCCUUCUUGAACGGGGCCACAAUCCAUAUAGGGUGCCAGGCCCGUAKUGACCGCUGCCGUCCGCGAGGCGACCUUUCUUCAGAGUCGGGUUGCUUGAGAGUGCAGCCCUAAGUGGGUGGUAAACUCCAUCUAAKGCUAAAUAUGACCACGAGACCGAUAGCGAACAAGUACCGUGAGGGAAAGUUGAAAAGAACUUUGAAGAGAGAGUUCAAUAGUACGUGAAACCGUUCAGGGGUAAACCUGAGAAACCCGAAAGGUCGAAAGGGGAGAUUCAUUCGCGAUUCGCACGAUCGGACCGGGUCGUCGGCGACAGAAGGCUUCGUGCCGGAAGCGCCUUCGAUCAGUGUCAGCGGUUGGCGAGCGCGUGCACUUCUCCCCAAGUAGGACGUCGCGAUCCGUUGGGUGCCGGUCUAAGGCCCGCGAGGGAGCCCGUCCGGUCGGCUUUGCCGUAUCGGACGGACCCGCGGUGUCCCGGCCGGCUCGCUCGACGGUAGACAUACGGUGUGGGGCCGCGAAUUCAGUUCGCGUUCGGCCCGCGGCAAGCGCUGCACGCGCGUCAGCUUUCGGACCUAGUGCCGAGGCCGGCCCGUGCCUGGUUGUUGGCUGCGGUGUUCUCGGACAGACCUCGUUGAAACACCUAUCAGCGACGCUAUAGCUUUGGGUACUUUCAGGACCCGUCUUGAAACACGGACCAAGGAGUCUAGCAUGUGCGCGAGUCAUUGGGAAUCACUAAACCUAAAGGCGCAAUGAAAGUGAAGGUCCGCCCUGCGCGGACCGAGGGAGGAUGAGUCGACCUGGCGUGUCACAGCGUCAGCAACCGGCUCCGCACUCCCGGGGCGUCUCGUUCUCACUGCGAGAAGAGGCGCACCAAGAGCGUACACGCUGGGACCCGAAAGAUGGUGAACUAUGCCUGGUCAGGACGAAGUCAGGGG
rnacentral:rRNA from 1 species